GCCUGAAUUCUUGAGAUAUCUCAGUUGAUAGAGCAUGAGACUCUUAAUCUCAGAGUCAUGAGUUGAAGCCCCACGUUGGGCA